UCAGAUUGCUAAGUCAAGGCCUGAACUAAUGAUUGAGCACCUGGUAAAGGGGCACAGCCAGCCCUGGGAGCACAGGUGAAAGCAAUUCGUCUGCAGGACUGGAAGGAGUGGAAUCAGGUUCCAGUCCUCCCUAACAUCAUUUAAGAGCUGGUUGCCACGAGGGAAGGGUUUCUACCUGGAGGUUCCUUCUUCUGGAGUGCUUGUUGAGUCCUGACCCCUGGGAUGGUGGAUGAUGCUCGGAGUCCUUUAAAAGACUUUAACAUGGUUUUGGAAAGGAAGAGCUGGAGGAGAUUCAGCCAUAAAAAGCUGGAUGGAGGCUGAAGGGUGCAACGUGCCUGGGAAUUGUGAGACAGGAUCAGCAGCCAGCUUUGAUCAGAGAAGAUGAAUUUGAGAGCAGAUUCUUUCAUAGCAACUCAGAACAGGGAUUUGGCACCUCCUGAUGAAUUGGGGGAGACGGACUUCUGCUAUGACCCAUUCCACGAUCACAGUUCACUUGUGAUCCUUUGUAUGAGUUACGCUGUGUGUUGGCAGCAGUUCGUGUCCUUAAAAGAACACAACCAAAAUAAAGAUCAGUUGCCUUGCCUUUUUUUACUGUAACUAAUUGCUAAUGUUGUUACAGUGGAAAGAAUACUUUAAAACUGAGUUGGACCUUUGUAUUUGAAUUGACUGACUUUUGUGUUUCACCUGGCUUGCUCAGAAAUUAGAAUUGACUUUGCUUGCUUUUUCUGUUCAGAAUCACUUUCUGGCCAUUUGCCCAGAGCAGAAGAGCCCCAGGCUCUUCAAUACUGAAUGCAGACUGGAAGUGGGGCCAAACUAUUCUCUAAAAUGUUCUGCUUUGAAUAAGGAGAUGGCUGUAAUUGAUUGAAGUUUUCUUUUACUCUUCCACAAACUGGAAAAUCUAACCCAAAUUCACUGGAGAAUCGUGGAUUUUUGUCUGUAGGCAGUUCUGUUCGUAGUGAGUCAUGAUUAAAAAGUUAAGAAUU